GUGCUCACUUCAGCAGCACAUAUACUAAAAUUGGAACGAUACAGAGAAGAUUAGCAUGGCCCCUGCGCAAGAAUGACAUGCAAAUUUGUGAAGCGUUCCAUAUUUUU
rnacentral:snRNA from 1 species